UUAAGUUAUUAAGGGCGCACGGUGGAUGCCUUGGCACUAGAAGCCGAUGAAGGACGUUACUAACGACGAUAUGCUUUGGGGAGCUGUAAGUAAGCUUUGAUCCAGAGAUUUCCGAAUGGGGAAACCCAGCAUGAGUUAUGUCAUGUUAUCGAUAUGUGAAUACAUAGCAUAUCAGAAGGCACACCCGGAGAACUGAAACAUCUUAGUACCCGGAGGAAGAGAAAGAAAAUUCGAUUCCCUUAGUAGCGGCGAGCGAAACGGGAAGAGCCCAAACCAACAAGCUUGCUUGUUGGGGUUGUAGGACACUCUAUACGGAGUUACAAAGGACGACAUUAGACGAAUCAUCUGGAAAGAUGAAUCAAAGAAGGUAAUAAUCCUGUAGUCGAAAAUGUUGUCUCUCUUGAGUGGAUCCUGAGUACGACGGAGCACGUGAAAUUCCGUCGGANGCGGCUGGAUCACCUCCUUUCUAAGGAUAUAUUCGGAACAUCUUCUUCAGAAGAUGCGGAAUAACGUGACAUAUUGUAUUCAGUUUUGAAUGUUUAUUUAACAUUCAAAUAUUUUUUGGUUAAAGUGAUAUUGCUUAUGCGAGCGCUUGACAAUCUAUUCUUUUUAAAGAAAGCGAUUGUCAGACAAUGCAUUAAGAAAAAUUAAAGCGGAGUUUACUUUUGUAAAUGAGCAUUUGAUUUUUUGAAAAUAAAGCAGUAUGCGAGCGCUUGACUAAAAAGAAAUUGUACAUUGAAAACUAGAUAAGUAAGUAAAAUAUAGAUUUUACCAAGCAAAACCGAGUGAAUAAAGAGUUUUAAAUAAGCUUGAAUUCAUAAGAAAUAAUCGCUAGUGUUCGAAAGAACACUCACAAGAUUAAUAACGCGUUUAAAUCUUUUUAUAAAAGAACGUAACUUCAUGUUAACGUUUGACUUAUAAAAAUGGUGGAAACAUAGAUUAAGUUAUUAAGGGCGCACGGUGGAUGCCUUGGCACUAGAAGCCGAUGAAGGACGUUACUAACGACGAUAUGCUUUGGGGAGCUGUAAGUAAGCUUUGAUCCAGAGAUUUCCGAAUGGGGAAACCCAGCAUGAGUUAUGUCAUGUUAUCGAUAUGUGAAUACAUAGCAUAUCAGAAGGCACACCCGGAGAACUGAAACAUCUUAGUACCCGGAGGAAGAGAAAGAAAAUUCGAUUCCCUUAGUAGCGGCGAGCGAAACGGGAAGAGCCCAAACCAACAAGCUUGCUUGUUGGGGUUGUAGGACACUCUAUACGGAGUUACAAAGGACGACAUUAGACGAAUCAUCUGGAAAGAUGAAUCAAAGAAGGUAAUAAUCCUGUAGUCGAAAAUGUUGUCUCUCUUGAGUGGAUCCUGAGUACGACGGAGCACGUGAAAUUCCGUCGGAAUCUGGGAGGACCAUCUCCUAAGGCUAAAUACUCUCUAGUGACCGAUAGUGAACCAGUACCGUGAGGGAAAGGUGAAAAGCACCCCGGAAGGGGAGUGAAAUAGAACCUGAAACCGUGUGCUUACAAGUAGUCAGAGCCCGUUAAUGGGUGAUGGCGUGCCUUUUGUAGAAUGAACCGGCGAGUUACGAUUUGAUGCAAGGUUAAGCAGUAAAUGUGGAGCCGUAGCGAAAGCGAGUCUGAAUAGGGCGUUUAGUAUUUGGUCGUAGACCCGAAACCAGGUGAUCUACCCUUGGUCAGGUUGAAGUUCAGGUAACACUGAAUGGAGGACCGAACCGACUUACGUUGAAAAGUGAGCGGAUGAACUGAGGGUAGCGGAGAAAUUCCAAUCGAACCUGGAGAUAGCUGGUUCUCUCCGAAAUAGCUUUAGGGCUAGCCUCAAGUGAUGAUUAUUGGAGGUAGAGCACUGUUUGGACGAGGGGCCCCUCUCGGGUUACCGAAUUCAGACAAACUCCGAAUGCCAAUUAAUUUAACUUGGGAGUCAGAACAUGGGUGAUAAGGUCCGUGUUCGAAAGGGAAACAGCCCAGACCACCAGCUAAGGUCCCAAAAUAUAUGUUAAGUGGAAAAGGAUGUGGCGUUGCCCAGACAACUAGGAUGUUGGCUUAGAAGCAGCCAUCAUUUAAAGAGUGCGUAAUAGCUCACUAGUCGAGUGACACUGCGCCGAAAAUGUACCGGGGCUAAACAUAUUACCGAAGCUGUGGAUUGUCCUUUGGACAAUGGUAGGAGAGCGUUCUAAGGGCGUUGAAGCAUGAUCGUAAGGACAUGUGGAGCGCUUAGAAGUGAGAAUGCCGGUGUGAGUAGCGAAAGACGGGUGAGAAUCCCGUCCACCGAUUGACUAAGGUUUCCAGAGGAAGGCUCGUCCGCUCUGGGUUAGUCGGGUCCUAAGCUGAGGCCGACAGGCGUAGGCGAUGGAUAACAGGUUGAUAUUCCUGUACCACCUAUAAUCGUUUUAAUCGAUGGGGGGACGCAGUAGGAUAGGCGAAGCGUGCGAUUGGAUUGCACGUCUAAGCAGUAAGGCUGAGUAUUAGGCAAAUCCGGUACUCGUUAAGGCUGAGCUGUGAUGGGGAGAAGACAUUGNGUCUUCGAGUCGUUGAUUUCACACUGCCGAGAAAAGCCUCUAGAUAGAAAAUAGGUGCCCGUACCGCAAACCGACACAGGUAGUCAAGAUGAGAAUUCUAAGGUGAGCGAGCGAACUCUCGUUAAGGAACUCGGCAAAAUGACCCCGUAACUUCGGGAGAAGGGGUGCUCUUUAGGGUUAACGCCCAGAAGAGCCGCAGUGAAUAGGCCCAAGCGACUGUUUAUCAAAAACACAGGUCUCUGCUAAACCGUAAGGUGAUGUAUAGGGGCUGACGCCUGCCCGGUGCUGGAAGGUUAAGAGGAGUGGUUAGCUUCUGCGAAGCUACGAAUCGAAGCCCCAGUAAACGGCGGCCGUAACUAUAACGGUCCUAAGGUAGCGAAAUUCCUUGUCGGGUAAGUUCCGACCCGCACGAAAGGCGUAACGAUUUGGGCACUGUCUCAACGAGAGACUCGGUGAAAUCAUAGUACCUGUGAAGAUGCAGGUUACCCGCGACAGGACGGAAAGACCCCGUGGAGCUUUACUGUAGCCUGAUAUUGAAAUUCGGCACAGCUUGUACAGGAUAGGUAGGAGCCUUUGAAACGUGAGCGCUAGCUUACGUGGAGGCGCUGGUGGGAUACUACCCUAGCUGUGUUGGCUUUCUAACCCGCACCACUUAUCGUGGUGGGAGACAGUGUCAGGCGGGCAGUUUGACUGGGGCGGUCGCCUCCUAAAAGGUAACGGAGGCGCUCAAAGGUUCCCUCAGAAUGGUUGGAAAUCAUUCAUAGAGUGUAAAGGCAUAAGGGAGCUUGACUGCGAGACCUACAAGUCGAGCAGGGUCGAAAGACGGACUUAGUGAUCCGGUGGUUCCGCAUGGAAGGGCCAUCGCUCAACGGAUAAAAGCUACCCCGGGGAUAACAGGCUUAUCUCCCCCAAGAGUUCACAUCGACGGGGAGGUUUGGCACCUCGAUGUCGGCUCAUCGCAUCCUGGGGCUGUAGUCGGUCCCAAGGGUUGGGCUGUUCGCCCAUUAAAGCGGUACGCGAGCUGGGUUCAGAACGUCGUGAGACAGUUCGGUCCCUAUCCGUCGUGGGCGUAGGAAAUUUGAGAGGAGCUGUCCUUAGUACGAGAGGACCGGGAUGGACAUACCUCUGGUGUACCAGUUGUCGUGCCAACGGCAUAGCUGGGUAGCUAUGUGUGGACGGGAUAAGUGCUGAAAGCAUCUAAGCAUGAAGCCCCCCUCAAGAUGAGAUUUCCCAACUUCGGUUAUAAGAUCCCUCAAAGAUGAUGAGGUUAAUAGGUUCGAGGUGGAAGCAUGGUGACAUGUGGAGCUGACGAAUACUAAUCGAUCGAAGACUUAAUCAA
rnacentral:rRNA from 1 species